GAUGAAGAACGUAGCGAAAUGCGAUACUUGGUGUGAAUUGCAGAAUCCCGUGAACCAUCGAGUCUUUGAACGCAAGUUGCGCCCGAAGCCGUCAGGCCGAGGGCACGCCUGCCUGGGCGUCACAGGCCGUUGCCCCCCCGCGCCCCGCACCCAACUCUUUGGGAGCGACCGCGGGGCGGGCUGAUGAUGGCCUCCCGUGCGCUCCGCCGCGCGGUUGGCCCAAAUACCGAGUCCCCGGCGACGUGCGCCACGACGAUCGGUGGUUGAGAGACCUCUGUCGCAAGUCGUGCGCGCCCGUCGCGUCACGCGGGCUCGCAUAGCGCCUCGCGCCGCACCCGGUGCGGAGCUUUCAACGCGACCCCAGGUCAGGCGGGGUUACCCGCUGAAUUUAAGCAUAUCAAUAAGCGGAGGA
rnacentral:misc_RNA from 1 species